rnacentral:rRNA from 1 species
CCCUUAGAUGUUCUGGGCCGCACGCGCGCUACAAUGAUGAAUUUAACGAGUUUAUAACCUUGGUUGAAAAGCCUGGGUAAUCUUUUGAACUUUCGUCGUGAUGGGGCUAGACCCUUGCAAUUAUUGGUCUCCAACGAGGAAUUCCUAGUAAACGCAAGUCAUCAGCUUGCAUUGAUUACGUCCCUGCCCUUUGUACACACCGCCCGUCGCACCUACCGAUUGAAUGGUCCGGUGAAAUCUUCGGAUUGAGACUUUGUUUUCUUCACGGAAAACGCUGUUUUAAAAAGUUGAUUAAACCUUACCAUUUAGAGGAAGGUGAAGUCGUAACA